UUGGUUCUUUUUUCUACUUUUUCUAUUUUUCAUCCUCUCUAUUCUUGCUCUUGGCGGACAAGGAGAAGAAGAGACUUACAAAUGAAGAGCAAUUGAUGGAAAAUUAGAGGAGAACUCACUACACACUUCACUGCCGUUAGAAGCCUUUUUCAAUGUGAGGACUCACUACACCAAGGAUCUUUAUGAUGAUUUUGAGAGUUCUUGAUCGCCUCAAUUUGUCAACUUACAGGUAUUAAGUUUCUGACUCCGUCAUUUCCUCUUUCAAGUAAACAAUGGAGAGAGGUAGAAGACGUAGUGUAUCAAGAGAAAUGGUUACGAAAAGGCUGGGCUAAAUUCAUUUGAUAUGAUUUGGAUUUUUUGGUUGACAUAAAAUCAUUACCUCUAUUUACUCAACUGGAUUCUUAUCAAGUAAAAUGAGUGACUGUAUGUAUAAUUCAGAACAUAAAACAUGUUCUCUUGCAAGCACCAAAUCAACAUCACUGAAGUCAUGCGCAGAAUUAAAUGAGUGAAGGGAUAAGCAAUCGACGAUGAAUGUUGGUUUGCUAUGUUAUGUUGUAUGGUUUUCAUACAGUUUCAUUAAAUUGUAUAGGAAAAACUAAUGUACCAGCUUUUUAGAGAAAGAAGUCGGAGUUGAUCUAGCUAACAAGCUCGAGAAAUUUGGAAGAACUAUGUAGUAAAAGUUGUUGGGAAGCACAAGAAGACACUAUUAUUUGACUUGUACCACUUGUGCAUAAUUUUUUCUAAAAGAUAUGUAUUUGUCUUUUCCUAACAUUUCCUUUCUUUUUA